GACCCAGGUCCCUCCAGGUAUUCAUUCAUUCUACACACUUUACACCUCUCAGAUCCAUUCUGACUUGAGCGUCGGAGUGUCUUUGCAGGUACCUCCCCCCAUCGCUCCAGUCACGCGAUCCGGUCUUCGCCUCGACCCGCAGGUUCCCGAUCCAUCAUUCAACCCGUACCAGAGACAUCUUGUACAUGUAUGUUAAGCUAAACAAAGUUAUACCACUAUAUGUAAGUAAUACCGUAAUGGAAAAAAAAUAUGUAGUAGAAAAAAAAUAGUGGUAUAACUUUGUUUAGGUUAACAUACAUAAAUUUUGAUUUCGAGCAUAUAACUUUGUUUAGGUUAAUAAAUACAUAUAUUUCAAUUUUGAGUAUAGUAUAUAUAUAUAUUCCAGCAAAAUGUAUGUAAGAAAAAUGUUUUAAAAUAGAAAAGAAUAAGAGAGAUUUUGAGAAGAAUUAAAGGAGAUAGAUAAUUUUAUUGGAAAAAAUUUUUAAGAAGAAAAGAUACAAUUACUAAUGUUUUGUUUGUCAAUUACAUUUCUAUUAAAAUUAGUAGUAUCAAAAAAUAUUUCAAAUUUAAUAUUAUGAAGAAAAAAUAAAAAAAAUUAUAUAAGGACUAGUUUGACUAAUUUUUAAAAUUUGAGGGAUGAAAAUGACUUAUUUCUAGACUUUCAAGGACUAUUUUGACUAUAAAAAUCUUUUUUACAUGUCAAGUGACACGUGGCGUUGACUUGGGUAUGCCACGUGUCACUGACAUGCCACGUGGCACUGACCUGCCACAUGGCGUGCCACAUGGCGUUGACCGUGGCGUUGACCUGCCACGUGGCGUGCCACGUCAUCGUGCCACGUCAUCGCCCAACUGACAAGAGGACUAAUUUGACUUAUUUUUUAUCUUUAAGGGACUAAUUUGAUUAAAAAAAUCGUUCGGGGACGAAAAUGAAGAUCGCGUAAUCUUUCGGGGACGAAUUUGAGUAU
rnacentral:lncRNA from 1 species